rfam:Ornithorhynchus anatinus chromosome 4, whole genome shotgun sequence.
AGCAGUGUGGCUCAGUGGAAAGAGCACGGGCUUGGGAGUCAGAGGUCAUGGGUUCGAAUCCCAACUCUGCCA